rnacentral:ncRNA from 1 species
CAAAGGCUUGGUCCUGACUUUACCAUCAACUUUAACUAAAUUUACACAUGCAAGUAUCUGCAUCCCCGUGAGAAUGCCCAUAGUUCCCCUUCCUGGAACAAGGAGCCGGUAUCAGGCACGCCCCUGCAGCCCACGACACCUUGCUCGGCCACACCCCCAAGGGACCUCAGCAGUGACAAACAUUAAGCAAUAAGUGCAAACUUGACUUAGUUACAGUUAUUAGGGCCGGUAAAACUCGUGCCAGCCACCGCGGUUAUACGAGAGGCCCAAGUUGAUAGACACCCGGCGUAAAGAGUGGUUAAAUUUCCAUUUUACUAAAGUCAAAUGCUCUCAUCACUGUUUAUACGUACCCGAGAGUAAGAAGCCCCUUAACGAAAGUAGCUUUAUUUACAUUGAAGCCACGAAAGCUGUGAAACAAACUGGGAUUAGAUACCCCACUAUGCUCAGCCAUAAACUUAGGCAGUUCUUUACAACCCCUGCCCGCCCGGGAAUUACAAGCAUAAGCUCAAAACCCAAAGGACUUGGCGGUGCUUAAGAUCCGCCUAGAGGAGCCUGUUCUAGAACCGAUAACCCCCGUUAAACCUCACCCCCUCUUGUUAAUUCCGCCUAUAUACCGCCGUCGUCAGCUUGCCCUGUGAAGGCCCCAUAGCAAGCAAAAUCAGCACAUCUUCAAACGUCAGGUCGAGGUGUAGCUUAUGAGGGGGGAAGAAAUGGGCUACAUUCCCUAAUAAAGGGUAAACGAACAACGUACUGAAAUAAACGUUAGAAGGAGGAUUUAGCAGUAAACAGAAAACAGAGAGUUCUGAUGAAAUAAGGCCCUAAAGCACGCACACACCGCCCGUCACUCUCCCCGAGCUACCAAACACAAUAAUUAAUAAACAAAAUAAGCAAAGGGGAGGCAAGUCGUAACACGGUAAGUGUACCGGAAGGUGCACUUGGAAAAAU